UACGUAGGGUGCGAGCGUUAAUCGGAAUUACUGGGCGUAAAGCGUGCGCAGGCGGUUCGUUAAGUUCGUUGUGAAAGCCCCGGGCUCAACCUGGGAACUGCAAUGGAAACUGGCGGGCUUGAGUGUGGCAGAGGGGGGUGGAAUUCCGCGUGUAGCAGUGAAAUGCGUAGAGAUGCGGAGGAACACCGGUGGCGAAGGCGGGUCUCUGGGCCGAUACUGACGCUGAGGAGCGAAAGCGUGGGGAGCGAACAGG
rnacentral:rRNA from 1 species